rnacentral:tRNA from 1 species
GGAAAGUGCCCGAGCUUAAAGGACUACUUUGAUAAGGUAGAAACAGAGACAAAAAUCUCUCUUUUCCA